GUUGAUUCACAGCCAACUAUGGAGGAAACAAUUUUGGUUGGUGAUGAUCUAAUGAUGGGUCCUCCAUCACCAAUAGUACCGCCAGAAAUAGCUUCGCAUGUGCUCCAAGGUGUUGAUCUAUGUGAUGGAAUUCUCAGGAAUCUAUUCUUGU